rnacentral:rRNA from 1 species
ACCCGCACAAGCAGCGGAGCGUGUGGUUUAAUUCGUUGCUACACGAAGAACCUUACCUGGGUUUGACAUAUAAGUUGUAGGGAACUGAAAAGGGACCGACCCUUCGGGGAGCUUAUACAGGUGUUGCAUGGCUGUCGUCAGCUCGUGUCGUGAGAUGUUCGGUUAAGUCCGCUAACGAGCGCAACCCUUGCCGUAUGUUACAAGUGUCAUACGGGACUGCCGGUAAAAAGCCGGAGGAAGGUGAGGAUGAUGUCAAGUCAGCAUGGCCUUUAUAUCCUGGGCUACACACACGCUACAAUGGCCAACACAAUAGGUUGCUAAGCCGCGAGGUGGCGCCAAUCCAUAAAGUUGGUCUCAGUUCAGAUUGUAGGCUGCAACCCGCCUGCAUGAAGAUGGAGUUGCUAGUAACCGCAGGUCAGCUAUACUGCGGUGAAUACGUUCCCGGGGCUU